rnacentral:rRNA from 1 species
CCCUUAGAUGUCCGGGGCCGCACGCGCGCUACACUGAAGGAAUCAGCGUGGCUUUCUCCCUGACCCGAAAGGGUUGGGAAACCCGUUGAAUCUCCUUCGUGAUAGGGAUUGGGGCUUGAAAUUGUUCCCCAUGAACGAGGAAUUCCCAGUAAGCGCGAGUCAUAAGCUCGCGUUGAUUACGUCCCUGCCCUUUGUACACACCGCCCGUCGCUACUACCGAUUGAACGGUUUAGUGAGGGCCUCGGAUUGGUCUCGGCCCGCUCUUUACCGGGCGGCGCCGUUGGUCGAGAAGACGCUCGAACUUGCUCGUUUAGAGGAAGUAAAAGUCGUAACA